AUGCCAUGCAGCAUGGACAGCAGUGUAGAACUGCAUCUGCAGUAUAUAAUCAUUCCAUUAACUUCUCUAUGGUUAUUGUGUUUUUUUCCAGGUCCACCAGGAUUUGGUCGUCCCGGACCUCCAGGACUCCCAGGACUAUCAGGUCAAAAGGGUGAAUUAGGGUUGCCUGGGCCCCCAGGUUCACCGGGCCCCACUGGUCUGAAGGGGGAGAUGGGUCCCCAAGGGUUUCCUGGUCUACAAGGUCCAUCUGGCCCCCCAGGACUCCCAGGGCCAGCUUCAGAAGGACCAAAGGGCAGCCCUGGACCGCCGGGCAUGCCAGGGAGGCCAGGUAAGAUUGAGGAAGAUAAGACCGCAGAACCUUUUGCUGACAGGUUAUUGGUCUGUUGGAUUAGACAACUUCUGAUAAGUCCUGUAGUUACUAAUGCUGGAAGGCAUUAACUUGAUGUCUUCUGGCUAUCCAAAAUUCGUCAUGAAAGGUUAUCUCUUGAUAGCAAUGUCAAGAGAGAUCAAGAAAACCACACCCAUUCAAUAACCUGACAGCAAAACUUCGCCAACUUGAGAUGUCCUCCGCAUGUCAUCACGGCAUUCAUCCAGCCGAGCACCCAAUCAACUUUAAUAGCAUCUGCCAAAUGUGCCUGUACCAUGACGCCACAUGAUAAACCAAUCCAUCUUGUGCACCAAAUGUCAUAAUAAUAAUACUACACUGCCCGCAGGACCCAUUGAAAUCAAACCCAUGUUAGCAGCACAGCAUGACCAGAUUGUACCAUGGUUCCUCUUCAUCUUUGCGUCGCGUGUGUUCAUCCUUGCUCCGUCAUCUGCCACAGCUCCGAUGGAUCCAGUGCACCACGUCACCUUCACCCUUCCAUCCUUGUCAUCUUUGCUUCUCCUCUGUCUACUAAUUCAUGGGAGUGAUGGUUUCCAUAAUGGGUGAACACCACUGAGCUGCUAUUGGGUUUCUAGUACAAUCAACACAAUGAUUCAAUCAUUUGGUGGUCAAAACAGAACAGGUGGACUUCCCUUUGUCCUGUUUGCUCUGUCUCCAAGUCCUACACUAAGCAGCAACAUCAUAGCAGAAUUAUUGCUUGCACCUUUGCAUAUUUUGUGAUCUUUUUUCCAUUGGCUUUCUGUGACUUGUUUGCUGAUCAUUAGCAAUUCUUAUUGGAUUAAUUGUUGACGAACAAGCUGCACGGUUAGGUUUUAAUGUUGGAAAUUUAGUUGAGUUCAUUUGUAACUGUUACAUCUGAAAAUAUUUGGUAAAAUCUAGUGGAACGUGAUGGGGAUCCUAAGAUGUAUUCCAGUUUCUGGACCGGACUCUAGUAGGACCUCAUUAUGCUUCCUUAGGAGAAAUGGAAUGGCCACAGGAUAAGCACUAAUGUAUACAUUAACCUAAUUUAACCAUCUGGUUGAGAUUUCUGGGGUUUUAUCACCAAUAUUUAAUCUUAUGUCAUUAGCACCAAAGCUUGCCUUAAAAACAAGGCAUGUGGGAGUGUGUCCGUCUCUUUUUCCUCCAAAUUGGUAAGCAUUCGUUGAAACUUUCCAGCAACACAAAUCAACUUGGAAACAAGAUGCGUGCUCUUGUCAGACCUUGUUUUGAAGCAAAUUGAAGAUUUUGUUUUAAUUGAAUAUAUGGUAUUAGCACAUAGGAGCAUGUGCACACUUGCAAGUUGAGUAGAGCUCCCAUAAAAACCAUGCCGUAGCAGGGUUGUUGUGUGUUUUCCAGGCUAUACAUAUGGCCAUGUUCCAGAAGCAUUCUUCCAAUGCUUCUGUAAUAUGGCCAUACAGCCUGGAAAACACACAACAACCCUGUGAUUCCAGCCAUGAAUACCUUCGACAACACAUGCCGUAGCACUAGUCAACUUGGAAACAAGCUGCAUGCUCUUGCUGAACCUCGUUUUAAAGCCAAAUGGAAGAUACAUAUUUUUAAAAGACCUAAUGCCAUAUUGUGAACAUUCAGCAGAAAGGGGCACAGGCAGCCCAAGAUCCAUGUCUUACUCAUUCCCGCUUGGAUAAACGCCAUGGGAAGGCACCAGUAACUGCUCAGUGGUUUUGUUCCCAUUGUCCUUGUUUGUAUUGCACGUAUACUGUACCAUGCAGAGCAUUUGUGUCACCCUGAAACGCAUGUCCAAAAUGGAUAAACCAAGCUGUUACUGGUUGAAAAAUCAGUCUGUAUUUGAGUCCAACCAAAUGAGCUAGUGAUGAAACACCAUCACAUAACAUGGGAAUGAAAUUGCUACUUUAAAGGAAUAGUAGAUACUUUGAGCUUUUUGACGAAGCUUAUUGAUCACUGAAUAAUUUGGCUUUCUUCUUGGAGCCUAUUUUUGUUAACUGAAAUCCUUAAUAACCAUUCCAUACCAGACAGCUGGACUGUCUUCAAUUGGUCAUUUUAAACCAAUUGGUAUUGGAUUGCGAUUAUGGGUUGUAAUAGCUUGGUCUAUACAUUGUAUUAAGAAUGCCAUUUUAGAUGGAUCGCCAUGAAAAAUGUUUAGUUUAUUGACAUAUCUAACCGUAUUGAUGUUUCCCCUUUCUAAUGAUGGCCUUGGUGAACUGUUGGUCCCCUACUUCCAGGUGCCACAGGUUAGCUCAUUAACUCUAGAGUCAUAACUUUGCAUGGACUUGGAUGUACUACUUGGAAGGAGAAAAUAAAUGUCUUGUUUUCAAAGGCUGUAUAUGCCAAGCCAUUAAUCUUACAUAGAUUCAUCUCUAGUCACUGAAAACAUUCAAUAUAACCAGUGCUUCCCAACCUGUGCUCCGUAGACCACCAGUGGUCUGCAAGAAUUAAAAUGUGGUCCGCAGCCUACACUGUUGCAAUGAGAGCAACUGGUCUCAUGAAACCCUCUUAUAGUGCUGAGGCUUAUUAAAUAUGUUUUUUUGUGGGUGAGCAGAUGGCCAUUACUGGAUGGCAUAUGUUCUGUAUCAGAAACUAGAGCUGAUGUGGUUUAUCCAAUGCAGUUUUCUGAAUCAGCACCCCAGAUAACCAAACCAAAUCUAAAGUUGGCCAAAAACUGAUUCAUAGGACUUUUGGUACUAAUGUUGGAGAAUGGUCCCGGUCAAAGAAAGGUUGGGAACUACUGAGUAUAACCAAAUGCAUGAUAUGGCAGUGUAGAUGGGAUCUUACUUAGGAGUGAGUCUUCUGAAGUGCAUUCGAGCUUAAAGUAGACCUGCAGAGGAUUGCACUGUAAGAAGGGCUUUCCUUCUCACCUCAAAGCGUUUGUUCUGAUUUAGUGAUCGUUUUUGUUUCUCUACUAAUGUAAGGUUACUUAAGCUAAUUAUAAGAUUUUCCAUACCCUUCCAGAGAAUAGGAGUGACUUGGCAUAUGCAACUGUGUUGUGUGGAUUGAAACACAGAUUUGAAAGUUUGCUAUGAUGUCUUUUAAAGACAAAAAGACAUAGAAUCAUAGACUUGGAAGAGACCUCAUGGCCAUCCAGUCCAACCCCCUGCCAAGAAGCAGGAAAAUCACAUUCACAACUUCAAGGGGAGAGGAAUAGUUUAAAAUUAAGACAUUGCAUCGAUUCUGCAGUCAUCUGUAGUUCAAUAAAUUCACAGUUUAGUGGUAGAUAAGAAGAAAGAAAAAUGAAGACCACACUCAUUCUUAAAAUGUCCUUCAUAAUCCGCAGUGUUGAUGCAACAUUGGACCUUUCCUUAUUUGAAGUCAUAGCAAACGUUUCUAUCUGUUUUAUCAUAGACUGUUCAUGCUAGUCUCACCUUUUGUUUACCAAUGUAGUGUGCUAAUGUAGGCAUAUCAUUAGCCAAGGAUGUAAAGGAAAGACAGAAAGAGAGAUUUAAAAAGUGUGUGUAUGUUUAACUUAACGUUGCAUGGAAUUGUAAUAUUUCUGAAACAUUUCACUGACACGUUCUAUGCAGAGGACAUGAGAAAUGCUUCGCUUUACCUGACCACUGCCCCAGAGCAAGCAUUGCAUUCAAAUUCAAAGAAUUUUAGAACCUUAGAGUUGGAAAGGACUGCAGGAGCCAUGAAGUCCCAACUUCGUGGCUCUUGCAGGAAUAUACUGAAAGUUGUCCAUCCAACUUCUGUUGAAAGACCUCCAAAGAAAGAGUCCACCAGAUUCAGUUGCAGUCUAUCCUACUGUCAAUAAUAAUAAUAAUAAUAAUAAUAAUAAUAAUAAUAAUAAUAAUAAUAAUAAUAAUAUACUUAUUAUUAAUAAUAUACUUAUAAUAAUAAUAUAUGAAAUCCAGCAUAUCUAUCUUGUUUGCUGUGUCAUAAUAAAAAUAUACUUUAUUUAUAUUCUGCUCUAUCUCCCCGGGGGGACUCAGUGUGGAUUACAGAACACAUAUACGACAAAUAUUCAAUGCCAUUAUACAAUCAACAAGGACAGACAAUACAUAAACAGAGAUAAAGGCUUUUCCCAUCUUUCCCAUUUCCAGCAUCUGGAGGCUAUGCUGGACUCCGGCCACGGGGGAGUGUGCUGUCGCCUCAUCUUCUGUACUGAGGAGCUUUGUCAUCCUUAGAUAUCCUCCCGAUUGAAUUACCAGGAUGUCCUUAUGGGUGCCUUUUAUUAUCUUCCCGCUUAAAGCGGUACUUAUUUCUCUACUCACAUUUCUGUUUUCGAUCUGCUAGGUGGGCAGGUAGUUGGGGCUGAUGGCGGGUGCUCACCCCAACCCAGGCUUGAACUGCUAACCUUUUGAUCAGUAGGAUUUUCUGCAACUUAGCCAUUUAACCCACUUUGCCAAGCUCGGCCCCAACAGUCUUCACAGCCUGAUGUUUAGGUGGAUUUUUUAAAUUGUAAUUUGAAUCCAUUGGUUUGUGUUCUAGUGUCCAGAGCAGCAGAAAACAGGCUUUCUCCAUCUUCUCCUUGAAAUCAUUUCAGUUAUUUAAAGAUAGCUAUCAUGUUUCAAUCUUCUCUUCUUUUUUCCAUACUGAAUAUUUCUGGACACUUCCCUUCUCUAAUUGCGGUGCCCAGAACGAGACACAAUAUUCCUCCAAGAGAAAUCCAAGCAACAUCAAGAAGUCUCUCGAUCUGGAAAUUACACUUUGGUUAAACCAGCCUAGAAUUGCAUUGGACUUUUGGCUGAUGAAUCAUUCUUAACAGCAACAACAUUUCUAUCGAUGUAUAUUGCACGAAGGUUCCUCAUGCAGCAGUGUCAGUGAAAUGGUCCCAGUUAGUACCUGCCUUUUGUUUCACAUGGAAUUAACGAAUAGUAACCC
rnacentral:lncRNA from 1 species